GAUGAACGCUGGCGGCGUGCCUAAUACAUGCAAGUCGAGCGAACAGACGAGGAGCUUGCUCCUCUGACGUUAGCGGCGGACGGGUGAGUAACACGUGGAUACCUACCCAUAAGGACGGGGUAAAUUCGGGGAACCGGAGCUAAUUCCGGGUAAUAUAUUUAACCGCCUGGGUCCAUAGUUAAAGACGGUUUUGCUGUCACUUAUAGAUGGAUCCGCGCCGCAUUAGCUAGUUGGUAAGGUAACGGCUUACCAAGGCAACGAUGCGUAGCCGACCUGAGAGGGUGAUCGGCCACACUGGAACUGAGACACGGUCCAGACUCCUACGGGAGGCAGCAGUAGGGAAUCUUCCGCAAUGGGCGAAAGCUUGACGGAGCAACGCCGCGUGAGUGAUGAAGGUCUUCGGAUCGUAAAACUCUGUUAUUAGGGAAGAACAAAUGUGUAAGUAACUAUGCACGUCUUGACGGUACCUAAUCAGAAAGCCACGGCUAACUACGUG
rnacentral:rRNA from 1 species